AUUGAACGCUGGCGGCAGGCCUAACACAUGCAAGUCGAGCGAGCGGCGGACGGGUGAGUAAUGUCUGGGAAACUGCCUGAUUGAGGGGGAUAACUACUGGAAACGGUAGCUAAUACCGCAUACCAUCAGAUUUUCCCAGAUGGGAUUAGCUAGUAGGUGGGGUAAUGGCUCACCUAGGCGACGAUCCCUAGCUGGUCUGAGAGGAUGACCAGCCAAACUGGAACGGAGACACGGUCCAGACUCCGACGGGAGGCAGCAGUGGGGAAUAUGGCACAAUGGGCGAAAGCCUGAUGCAGCCAGGCCGCGUGUGUGAAGAAGGCCUUCGGGUUGUAAAGCACUUUCAGCGGGGAGGCGUUACCCGCAGAAGAAGCACCGGCUAACUCCGUGCCAGCAGCCGCGGUAAUUC
rnacentral:rRNA from 1 species